rnacentral:lncRNA from 1 species
GCAACUCUCAGAAAAGCAGUUAGAAAAGAAGCUAUGGACGGAGGAAUACCAGAAGAAGAGCAACUAUCACGUUCUUCUAAAUCUAGAGAAGAAUUCAUGGUAGCUGCAUAACCCCUCACUAUGGGGGACUACUAUAAACGAAUUGAUGAAGGACAUGUUUCUAGGGGGUUUGUACCAGCAGACCCUGCUAACUUUGAUAUUAAAAAUUAUGUAAUUUCAGGUUUACGAGAAAAUUUGUUCGACGGGAA